rnacentral:rRNA from 1 species
AACACGACUCUCGGCAAUGGAUAUCUCGGCUCUUGCAUCGAUGAAGAGCGCAGCGAAAUGCGAUACGUGGUGCGAAUUGCAGAAUCCCGUGAACCAUCGAGUCUUUGAACGCAAGUUGCGCCCGAGGCCACCCGGCCAAGGGCACGUCUGCCUGGGUGUCAAGC